rfam:Aquiflexum balticum DSM 16537 genome assembly, chromosome: I
UAGGCGGAAACCGAAAAGCCAAAAGAGUAGGUA